UACAGAGGUCCCAAGCGUUGUUCGGAUUCAUUGGGCGUAAAGGGUGCGUAGGCGGCGCGGUAAGUCGGGUGUGAAAUCUCGGGGCUUAACUCCGAAACUGCAUUCGAUACUGCCGUGCUUGAGGACUGGAGAGGAGACUGGAAUUUACGGUGUAGCGGUGAAAUGCGCAGAUAUCAGGAAGAACACCCGUGGCGAAAGCGGCUCUCUGGAACGGUACUGACGCUGAGACGCGAAAGCGUGGGGAGCGAACAGG
rnacentral:rRNA from 1 species